GUCGGGAUAGUUCAGUUGGUUAGAGGAUGGUGCUGGUAACCCCAAGGCUGCAGGCUCAAUCCCUGUGUGGGAUA